UACGUAGGGGGCAAGCGUUGUCCGGAAUCAUUGGGCGUAAAGAGCGUGUAGGCGGCCCGGUAAGUCCGCCGUGAAAGCCCAGGGCUCAACCCUGGAAUGCCGGUGGAAACUGCCGGGCUGGAGUCCGGAAGAGGCGAGUGGAAUUCCUGGUGUAGCGGUGAAAUGCGCAGAUAUCAGGAGGAACACCAAUGGCGAAGGCAGCUCGCUGGGACGGUACUGACGCUGAGACGCGAAAGCGUGGGGAGCAAACAGG
rnacentral:rRNA from 1 species